rnacentral:rRNA from 1 species
CCUACGGGUGGCAGCAGUAGGGAAUAUUGGUCAAUGGGGGAAACCCUGAAGCAGCAACGCCGCGUGGAGGAUGAAGGUUCUCGGAUUGUAAACUCCUUUUGUUAGAGAAGAUAAUGACGGUGUCUCACUAAUAAGAACCGGCUAACUACGUGCUAGCAGCCGCGGUAAUAAGGAGGAUGCAAGAGUUACUCGGAGUCACUGGGCGUAAUGAGCGCGUAGGCGGGUUAGCAAGUCGGAUGUGAAAUACUCUGGCUUAACCAUAGAACUGCAUUUGAAACUGUUAUGCUAGAGUAAGGAAGAGGUAGAUGGAAUUAUUGGUGUAGGGGUAGAAUGCGUAGAGAUCAAUAGGAAGA